ensembl:rRNA 5S_rRNA 5S ribosomal RNA
GCCUGUGGGAGUUCGUCCUAGCAGCCCCCGGUGCCAUAACAGCCUGAGCAUGUCCAAAACCGGAAGCUAAGCGGGAUCAGACCUGUUUGGGACUUGGAUGUGGGACCACCUAGGGAGACCGGGGGCUGGGGGCU